GAAUAUAGCUCAGUUGAUAGAGUGCUUGCCUUCAAUGCACAAGGCCCUGGGUUCAAUCCUCAGCACCA
rnacentral:tRNA from 1 species